rnacentral:rRNA from 1 species
GACGAACGCUGGCGGCGUGCUUAACACAUGCAAGUCGAACGGAAAGGCCCUGCUUUUGUGGGGUGCUCGAGUGGCGAACGGGUGAGUAACACGUGAGUAACCUGCCCUUGACUUUGGGAUAACUUCAGGGGACUGCGGCUCAUACCGGGUAGGAGCUCCUGCUGCAUGUGGGGGGUUGGAAAGUGUCGGCGGUUGGGGAUGGAUUCGCGGCUUAUCAGCUUGAUGGUGGGGUAGUGGCUUACCAAGGCUUUGACGGAUAGCCGGCCUGAGAGGGUGACCGGCGACCAUGGGACUGAGAGACGGCCCAGACGCGUACGGGCGGCAGCAGGGGGGAAUAUUGCACAAUGGGCGGGAGCCUGAUGCAGAGACGCCGCGUGCGUGAUGCCGGCCUUCGGGUUGAGAACCGCUUUCGCCUGUGACGAAGAGUGCGUGACGGUAAUGAAUAAAGAAGCACCGGCUAACUACGUG